GGCGGCCUGGAGUGAGCACAGCACUCAGGGCCCAUGGAGGCAGGUGGGAGCUUGGGUGUGGGGCCAGGGCAGCUGAGUUUUAGUCCAUGUUCUGGACCCUGCCUUGUCCCUUCCUUCCCCUUUGCAAGCCUGUUUUCUCAUCUACAAAAUGGGAAUCAUAAUAAAACUUACACCUGGGGCUGCUCUGAGGAUUCACUGGGCUGUCAAAUAGACUCAAAAAUUAGAACAUUUCAAUAAGCAAAAAUAAAUGAAAAGUUAUGCAUUAUUGCACCACCAGACAACCACUGGUAACAUUUUUAUGUACAACCUUUCAGACGUGUAAAAAUACUCCCAUAUAGGAAACUUUGUAUGUACCUAGAAGGGUCUCACAGCGCUUCACUCAGUAGUCCGCCCUGCAUGUCUCCCAUGUCAGUAAACAUUUUCAAAGGCCAUUUCAUGUUCCAUUGGAGAGACAGCUGCCGCCUCACCAUUUCCCAUUUCCCCUUUGAACGCUGCUUUGAUGCUCAUUCUUGACCACGGCACCCCUUAGUUACCUUUAGAGAAGUCACCAAAGGGUCCUCCAGGGGCGAGAUGCUCAUUUUCCUCCCCCAGCAGCCGACAGUGGCCCUUCCCACUCGCUUGCCUCUCCACGAACAAUGGGAUGAUGCUAAGGAAAUAGGAAAUGUGCUGAGGCUUCUGAAAAGCCUCUUAUUCUUUCUCCCUUGGGAAAUUAUUUUCCUAACGUCUUGGUUUUGUAGUUUUGGAUUCCCAAAGAGCUUGGUGUGAAACACAUAAUAAGCAAGGACUUCGGAGUGUUAACACUUGGAUUCAAUGCUCAGCCUACCUUAUCUGAACAAGUCACCUAACCUCUCUGAGCAGAGAUGGUACAGUGCCCCUGCUAGGCUUGCUGUGAGGGUAAAAGGAAGCCAUGGCUAGAGGACUUAGCACCGUGCCUGGUACAGUCAGACUCAAUGAAGUGUGGCUGCUACUGUUCCCUUAGUGGGAUGCUGAGGUCAGCAUAGUUUGACUGGCACCAACUCUGUAUGUCUGUUUUCAGUCACUCAAUAACAAGUGUUUGCUGAGGCCCUACUAUGUGUCUGUUCACCAGGGUAGCACUGGGGCUCCUGUGGAGACGUCCUUGCCUGUCAGUGACUUCCUGAUGGCAAACAGCUUUUCCUCUUUUCCU